CGGGGCGUAGCGCAGUCCGGUAGCGUACACGGUUCGGGACCGUGUGGUCGCUGGUUCGAAUCCAGUCGCCCCGACCA
rnacentral:tRNA from 1 species